rnacentral:rRNA from 1 species
GAUGAACGCUGGCGGCGUGCCUAAUACAUGCAAGUCGAGCGAAUGGAUUAAGAGCUUGCUCUUAUGAAGUUAGCGGCGGACGGGUGAGUAACACGUGGGUAACCUGCCCAUAAGACUGGGAUAACUCAGGGAAACCGGGGCUAAUACCGGAUAACAUUUUGAACCGCAUGGGUCGAACUUGAAAGGCGGUUUCGGCUGUUAUUUAUGGAUGGACACGCGUCGCAUUGGCGAGUUGGUGAGGUAACGGCUCACCAAGGCAGCGAUGCGUAGCCGACCUGAGAGAGCGAUCGGCCACACUGGAACUGGGACACGGCCCAGACGCCUACGAGAGGCAACAGUAGGGAAUCUUCCGGAAUGGACGAAAGUCUGACGGAGCAACGCCGCGUGAGUGAUGAAGGCUUUCGGGUCGUAAAACUCUGUUGUUAGGGAAGAACAAGUGCUAGUUGAAUAAGCUGGCACCUUGACGGUACCUAACCAGAAAGCCACGGCUAACUACGUGCCAGCAGCCGCAGUAA